CUAGUACAAAAGCAACCAUGACACCAAAAGCUCCAAAGCAGCCAAAAUACAACGCAGCAAAAGACAGCACAAAGCCAUUACAAAUCCAAGAAAAUGAACAAACAUGAGAAAAGGAAACAAAAAUCCAAAAGGCAGCAACAUGAGUAAGAAAAAUAACCAAAACAUCAGGCUUCCAAAAUGAAACAAGAUCCGAAUCGGAUGGGCAAACAUGAAGGCUCCACCACCCAAUUCAAACAAAAAAGUGACAUGAGUUCUUUAUGCAACUACGCACCAGAUGAUGAGAGACGAACCCAAAAAACUCAAGCUAAGCUUCACAACCAUGCCACAAAGUUAUGAGAUCUAAG
rnacentral:misc_RNA from 1 species